rnacentral:lncRNA from 1 species
CGAAAGAGAUAGAUCAAAAAGAGGAAAGAAGAGGGACUGGGAAGCUAGGGCGACUGAGGAUACGCCGAGGUCUAGUCCGGCUUGGCAGCGCGAACUAGAGAGCUUUGCGAGCCGCGGGGCUGGGAAGUCAGGGCAUAAGGGCCAGGCCUGCCCUCUGGUGCUUUCGGCUCCUCGGGCCCCCGACUUUAAAGUGCUCAAGUUGGGGUCGGCGCCAUCAUGACGCCUGAGACUGAAUGUUGAAACAGCCAUUUUGACACAAUCAUAAAACUGAAGUUCAGUGUUUGGAGGUCAGCACCCAUCAUCUUCAUUUUGAAAAUAUUGUGUUUUAGAUAUCCUGGAGAAACGGAGAAAACCUCAGAACUGAAAUGAAGUCUGUGAACUGUGGAGUCAGGAGAUCAUCAGAAAUGCAGCUCACAUCAGUCCUGUCAUGGCCUUGGAGCUACAUACCAGCCCUGUCACUUCUUCAGUCCCUGUAUUCAGAUAAGGAAUGUGAAAGAGAAAGAAAGCACAUGUGUUUCCUGAAAGUGUGAGGGCUUCCAUGCUAGAAAGAGCCAACAAAGAGCCUUUAAAGCAGUCCCUGUCACUUCUAGAACCUUUUAUGAUGGAACUUUGUGUCCAUGGAUGGAUGGGAGAAUGACAGAAAUAAAACCAAAGUUAAUUUUGAA